rnacentral:rRNA from 1 species
UACGAAGGGGGGCUAGCGUUGCUCGGAAUCACUGGGCGUAAAGGGUGCGUAGGCGGGCCUUUAAGUCAGGGGUGAAAUCCUGGAGCUCAACUCCAGAACUGCCUUUGAUACUGAAGAUCUUGAGUUCGGGAGAGGUGAGUGGAACUGCGAGUGUAGAGGUGAAAUUCGUAGAUAUUCGCAAGAACACCAGUGGCGAAGGCGGCUCACUGGCCCGAUACUGACGCUGAGGCACGAAAGCGUGGGGAGCAAACAGG